rnacentral:rRNA from 1 species
AGAGUUUGAUCAUGGCUCAGGACGAACGCUGGCGGCGUGCUUAACACAUGCAAGUCGAACGGAAAGGCCCUUCGGGGUACUCGAGUGGCGAACGGGUGAGUAACACGUGGGUGAUCUGCCCUGCACUUUGGGAUAAGCCUGGGAAACUGGGUCUAAUACCGAAUAGGACCACGCGCUUCAUGGUGUGUGGUGGAAAGCUUUUGCGGUGUGGGAUGGGCCCGCGGCCUAUCAGCUUGUUGGUGGGGUAAUGGCCUACCAAGGCGACGACGGGUAGCCGGCCUGAGAGGGUGACCGGCCACACUGGGACUGAGAUACGGCCCAGACUCCUACGGGAGGCAGCAGUGGGGAAUAUUGCACAAUGGGCGCAAGCCUGAUGCAGCGACGCCGCGUGAGGGAUGACGGCCUUCGGGUUGUAAACCUCUUUCAAUAGGGACGAAGCGUGAGUGACGGUACCUAUAGAAGAAGCACCGGCCAACUACGUGCCAGCAGCCGCGGUAAUACGUAGGGUGCGAGCGUUGUCCGGAAUUACUGGGCGUAAAGAGCUCGUAGGUGGUUUGUCGCGUUGUUCGUGAAAACUCACAGCUUAACUGUGGGCGUGCGGGCGAUACGGGCAGACUAGAGUACUGCAGGGGAGACUGGAAUUCCUGGUGUAGCGGUGGAAUGCGCAGAUAUCAGGAGGAACACCGGUGGCGAAGGCGGGUCUCUGGGCAGUAACUGACGCUGAGGAGCGAAAGCGUGGGGAGCGAACAGGAUUAGAUACCCUGGUAGUCCAA